rnacentral:rRNA from 1 species
UAGUAUUACAAUUUUAGGUGUUUGGUGCGCUCACGCAUGUGUAUAAGAUAUAAAUCACAGUAAUGAUCCUUCCGUAGGGUGAACCUGCGGAAGGAUCAUUACUGUGAUUUAUAUCUUAUACACAUGCGUGAGCGCACCAAACACCUAAAAUUGUAAUACUANNNGUCAGUAAGUUUUAACAAAACAAAACUUUCAACAACGGAUCUCUUGGUUCUCGCAUCGAUGAAGAGCGCAGCGAAAUGCGAUACCUAGUGUGAAUUGCAGCCAUCGUGAAUCAUCGAGUUCUUGAACGCACAUUGCGCCCCAUGGUAUUCCAUGGGGCAUGCCUGUCUGAGCGUCGUUUCCUUCUUGCGCAAGCAGAGUUGAGAACAGGCUAUGCCUUUUUCGAAAUGGAACGUCGUGGACGAAGUGAACUAAANUUUUAGCACGCUUUGGCCGCCGAACUUUUAACUAAGCUCGACCUCAGAUCAGGUAGGAAUACCCGCUGAACUUA